GAUGCAAACCCAGGACCUUCCUGUGCCAGUCCAAAAUCAGUGUUGGAAUACUGAUGCCCAGAGCUACAGGCCCGGCAAAAUGAGCCCAAAAUACGUGUCAUACAGUCAUCCUUCCCACCACUAAGAUGAUCAGUUCAUAUGGUCCAGACUGGGACCGGAUCAGCCAUCACCUAACCCUGGUCCAAGCUGACAUUUACAGAAGCGAGAAGACCAGCUCUUCUUAUGACACUCAUACCUGAGGACCUCCCUCAGAAAUGUCUUCUCUGAAUGAGGUUAGCCUGGAAGAGCCUUAUUCUGUACCCUCCUGUUCCUGGGCCCUGAAUGCGGAAGGUGGCCAAGCUACCCGAGACAUGAAAAAAUGACUCCCUUCCUGUCACAGUACUUUGUAGAUAUUUCUUUACU